rnacentral:piRNA from 1 species
GAGACUGUAUGAUUUCCUCACUCUUA